rnacentral:lncRNA from 1 species
AGUUGUAUGUCCAGCUUCUGAUUUCCAAUAUUGUGAUUGUGAUUUCAGGGCCCUCCUGCUAUCUCCAUCCUUUCUGUGGUCUCAGUGGCUCCUAGCAGAGUCCUCAGGAGCCCAGAACUCAGAGAGAGGGCCUCAGCUUUACUGGAAGGAGAAGUUGGUGUAGGAUCUCCCCCCAAGGAAGGGAAUCCAACCCAGGAGAUCAUCCCUGCUCUGCAACCUUUCAUCCAGCUCCAGGGCAGUAGUGAAGCCAUUUCCUUCUCCCAGCUGGGCAGAAAGGACGUGAGUGAAGUCAGAGCAAUGAGAAAACAAAAAGGAUGGUCAAGCAUGGGAGCCAUGACCCUGACACGGCAGGAGAAGGAUAUAGCUCUUCCCUCAGUUAGCAACAUAGAAGAGAAGGAAGGAGGGACUUCUGGAGUCCUAACUGCCAGGUUUCAGGUAAGUUCCAGUUACUCUCUUUCUGCUUUGACCUGUCUCCUCCCUUAGCCUCUCUUUUCUAAUAUUUCUUUCCUGUUUUCACUCAAAUUGUGCUCACUCAAAUUCAUGUUGGGACCCAAGUCUCAGUAGAUUGAAUAGCUCAGUGGAUGGAGAGGCAGGCCUAGAGGUGGGAGGUCUUAGGUUCAAAUGUCACCUCAGACACUUCCCAGCCGUGUGACCCUGGGAAAGGCACUUAACCCCCAAUGCCCCACCCUUAACACUCUUCAGCCUUGAAACCAAUACACAGUAUUGAUUCUAAGAUGGAACGUAAGGGGUUAAAUUAAAAAAACAAAACAAAACAAGAGUGGAAUUGUGGGAAAUUUUUUAAAAUUCACAGAGAAAAGUCAAGAAGUAUCAAUAGCCGUAUAUGUCAGAUGGCUAUGAAAGUGGCAUGUUGAACUUAUAUAGUUUUUAAAAAGGCAACAUACUAGAAAUUAGCCUUUUCACAUAGAGAGAAGUCAUCAUUCCAUUUGAUGAAUGUUAAAUGAAGAAUUUUUAAACAAUCUUUUAAAAUGAAAUGGAGAUGAGGGUGCAGCUAGGUGGCUCAGUGGAUGGAGAGUCAGGCCUAGAUACGGGAGGUCCUAGGUUCAAAUCUGGCCUCAGACACUUCCCAGCUGUGUGAUCCUGGGCAAGUCACUUGACAAAGUAUUGACUCCAAGAUGGAAGGUAAGGGUUUAAAAAAAAUGAAAUGGAGAUGAUUAGGAAGAAGAAAGAAAAUGCUGGAAAAACAGAAAUUAUCCCUUGAUACUGUGUGGAGUUGCCAUGAUGAAAUUUCAUGCUUAGUUCUCUCAUUCCCAUUUUGGGUGUAGGGUCUGAGAUAAUCCCCCAGGAAUGGAGAAACCGAGACAAUGCAAGUAAGCAAAGCAUCACCUAUAAUCUAACAGGUUAGGGCUGCCCCAAAGAAGGAGCCGCACUGGCUUGGCUAGGGGAACACCUUUUAUAGUAUAGGGGGCUAACAUGAAAUGUUGAACAAUAGGAUGUCAUGAUUUGGCAGUUGCAGCUAGCUGAG